GGGGAAAUGUCUGAGUGGUUUAAAGAGCUUGAUUGCUAAUCAAGUGUACUUAUUAAUAAGUACCAAGGGUUCAAAUCCCUUUUUCUCCU
rnacentral:tRNA from 1 species